rnacentral:tRNA from 1 species
AUUUAAGUAAUUUAAAAUAAAAUUUUGAUUUGUGGUAUCAAAUAUGUAAAUUUAAUUUACCUUAAAUU